ACAGAACAUGCGGCAUGUUUCAUAUGUGAUAUUCAUUAUAGAUGAUUCUCUGCCGUAUGGAGGAGGCAGGAGAGCUUUGAAGGAGCUGGCACCCGUGAAGAACCGUGGCCACCUGAGCCCACCAAGAGCUGGGAUUGGGCGGACGAGGUUUGAAUGCUGACGAAGCGAGGGAGGAGGAGGAGGAGCUCAUCUGCAUCCCGUUUUCCCCUUCUCUGCAGCUCCAGCUUCGCCCGAACACAGCAGCUUUUCACUCGAUGUUGGGAAUUUUUGCUAUUUUGUGCAGUCCAGCAGAGCUCCCCUCUGAUGGGACAGUUCAGAGCUGAUCUCCUGCAUCGUGCAGCCCGAGCGAGUAUCAGCUUUGUGUGUUUCCACGUGUGGAGGCUCACGUCCAGGUCCUAAUUGAUCACAAUGUAACUGGCAAACUGUUCUUUGGCACAAGGAAAAAAAGGUGGAAAUACGGUAUGUUACUGUGAAAAGCACAGUGCCAGCUGUUACUGUUUGAAUGAAGAUGUUUCUAAAAGCUGACCUACUGCACUUUGUCUCUUAGUUCUGAUGAAGCUGCCUUCAUUUUGUUCACAUGUACCUGUAACAAACCUAACUCACCUGCUUUACCUGACUUCUGGCUGGACUUCCUACAGCACAAUUGGCCUGAUUCCUGAAAAACCGAGCGACAGCAGCAGCGAAAGUGUGGCAUUGUACGAGGUAACAAUUAUAUCUCGCAGGUCAAACAACAACCGGUGCUUGUUUCCAAAAGUUGCGAGAAGAAUCACAGCUAUUUCCUCGGAUUUCUAUUUUGCUCUGCUCCACUGAAGAACAUCUAAAAUGCAUAAAAUCUCCCACUCUGCUGUGAAAAUAU